GACCCAUCAAAAAAGGACAUUCUUCCAUUGUGUGGUCUGUGGCAUUACACCUAUUGCAAGUGGAUAUUGAAACUUGGUUCACUUGGGUGUGUCCUUUGAGUUCUAGAACCUUUAUCCCAUGGAUCAAAGAUGCAAAUUUAUCCUCUUUAGCUAGGGAAGGUUGAACUUGAUGUACACCCCCUCUUGAAGGUGUGAGUUUAUUGGGUUUCCUAGUAAUCUCUCAUUAUAGGCUCUUUUCUGCUAGAUCCUC
rnacentral:lncRNA from 1 species